rnacentral:rRNA from 1 species
UAAUACGAAGGGGGCAAGCGUUGUUCGGAAUUACUGGGCGUAAAGGGCGCGUAGGCGGCUUAUCAAGUCAGGCGUGAAAUUCCCGGGCUCAACCUGGGGGCUGCGCUUGAUACUGAUGAGCUUGAAUGCGGGAGAGGAUAGUGGAAUUCCCAGUGUAGAGGUGAAAUUCGUAGAUAUUAGGAAGAACACCAGUGGCGAAGGCGGCUCACUGGCCCGGUACUGACGCUGAGGCGCGAAAGCGUGGGGAGCAAACAGGAUUAGAUACCCUGGUAGUCCACGCCGUAAACUAUGGGUGCUAGCCGUCGGUCGGCAUGCCGGUCGGUGGCGCAGCCAACGCAUUAAGCACCCCGCCUGGGGAGUACGGUCGCAAGAUUA